CAGACAGCCAGGAUGUUGGCUUAGAAGCAGCCAUCAUUUAAAGAAAGCGUAAUAGCUCACUGGUCGAGUCGGCCUGCGCGGAAGAUGUAACGGGGCUAAACCAUGCACCGAAGCUGCGGCAGCGACGCUUAUGCGUUGUUGGGUAGGGGAGCGUUCUGUAAGCCUGUGAAGGUGUGCUGUGAGGUAUGCUGGAGGUAUCAGAAGUGCGAAUGCUGACAUAAGUAACGAUAAAGCGGGUGAAAAGCCCGCUCGCCGGAAGACCAAGGGUUCCUGUCCAACGUUAAUCGGGGCAGGGUGAGUCGACCCCUAAGGCGAGGCCGAAAGGCGUAGUCGAUGGGAAACAGGUUAAUAUUCCUGUACUUGGUGUUACUGCGAAGGGGGGACGGAGAAGGCUAUGUUGGCCGGGCGACGGUUGUCCCGGUUUAAGCGUGUAGGCUGGUUUUCCAGGCAAAUCCGGAAAAUCAAGGCCGAGGCGUGAUGACGAGGCACUACGGUGCUGAAGCAACAAAUGCCCUGCUUCCAGGAAAAGCCUCUAAGCAUCAGGUAACAUCAAAUCGUACCCCAAACCGACACAGGUGGUCAGGUAGAGAAUACCAAGGCGCUUGAGAGAACUCGGGUGAAGGAACUAGGCAAAAUGGUGCCGUAACUUCGGGAGAAGGCACGCUGAUACGUAGGUGAAGCGACUUGCUCGUGGAGCUGAAAUCAGUCGAAGAUACCAGCUGGCUGCAACUGUUUAUUAAAAACACAGCACUGUGCAAACACGAAAGUGGACGUAUACGGUGUGACGCCUGCCCGGUGCCGGAAGGUUAAUUGAUGGGGUUAGCGCAAGCGAAGCUCUUGAUCGAAGCCCCGGUAAACGGCGGCCGUAACUAUAACGGUCCUAAGGUAGCGAAAUUCCUUGUCGGGUAAGUUCCGACCUGCACGAAUGGCGUAAUGAUGGCCAGGCUGUCUCCACCCGAGACUCAGUGAAAUUGAACUCGCUGUGAAGAUGCAGUGUACCCGCGGCAAGACGGAAAGACCCCGUGAACCUUUACUAUAGCUUGACACUGAACAUUGAGCCUUGAUGUGUAGGAUAGGUGGGAGGCUUUGAAGUGUGGACGCCAGUCUGCAUGGAGCCGACCUUGAAAUACCACCCUUUAAUGUUUGAUGUUCUAACGUGGACCCGUGAUCCGGGUUGCGGACAGUGUCUGGUGGGUAGUUUGACUGGGGCGGUCUCCUCCUAAAGAGUAACGGAGGAGCACGAAGGUUGGCUAAUCCUGGUCGGACAUCAGGAGGUUAGUGCAAUGGCAUAAGCCAGCUUGACUGCGAGCGUGACGGCGCGAGCAGGUGCGAAAGCAGGUCAUAGUGAUCCGGUGGUUCUGAAUGGAAGGGCCAUCGCUCAACGGAUAAAAGGUACUCCGGGGAUAACAGGCUGAUACCGCCCAAGAGUUCAUAUCGACGGCGGUGUUUGGCACCUCGAUGUCGGCUCAUCACAUCCUGGGGCUGAAGUAGGUCCCAAGGGUAUGGCUGUUCGCCAUUUAAAGUGGUACGCGAGCUGGGUUUAGAACGUCGUGAGACAGUUCGGUCCCUAUCUGCCGUGGGCGCUGGAGAACUGAGGGGGGCUGCUCCUAGUACGAGAGGACCGGAGUGGACGCAUCACUGGUGUUCGGGUUGUCAUGCCAAUGGCACUGCCCGGUAGCUAAAUGCGGAAGAGAUAAGUGCUGAAAGCAUCUAAGCACGAAACUUGCCCCGAGAUGAGUUCUCCCUGACCCUUUAAGGGUCCUGAAGGAACGUUGAAGACGACGACGUUGAUAGGCCGGGUGUGUAAGCGCAGCGAUGCGUUGAGCUAACCGGUACUAAUGAACCGUGAGGCUUAACCUU
rnacentral:rRNA from 1 species